rnacentral:lncRNA from 1 species
UGGCAGGAGCUCUGCAGAAGUCCCGGUCUCCCAGUGCACCAAGGAUCUCCUGUGCAGUGAUGGAUCUCAAGUCACCUUUUCAAAGGCAAUAAGGACUUAUACUAAAACAGAAGAUUAAGCUCUUCCAGAACUAACUGGAAUACAUCUGAAUUCUUCAAAAAUAUGCUCUUGAGACACUAAAUCAUUUGCAAGUAUCUGAAUAGUUUAAACACUGAAAUAAUUUCUUCAGAUUCAUAUGAGCAGAAAAUUGAAGAAGGAUUAGAGAACAGUUUUCCUAUUCAAACAUCUGAUGAUUAUAUGAAAUCAUUACAAAUGUUCAAAUUAAAGCAUAAUGAAGCAGGACAUGGCAGAACGAACAGGGAGAUGCUGAUGAGGAUCUAAAAAUUCUCUUCUUCUGGUAACGCGAUGUCUGCACUGUAAAGCACUGCUGCACUGGCUUAGGCAGAGAAAGGUGUUUGAAAGCAGACUGCUUGGACUAGGGAAAAGUGAACUGCUUUCAGAAAACAGAAGAGAGCAAAUAGAGCCAGUGUUGCUAGGCAGAGACUAUCAAAGGUGCAGAGAAUGAUGCAGCUUCCUAUCACAAAUAAACAAGGUAAAUGGCCAUCA